AUGGCCGGCACCACGGUGCUCCCGCCGUCUCUGCUCCCGCGCCGUAGCGCCGCUGCCGCCGCCGACCUGCACUCCUGCUCCUCCCGCGUGCGCGUGAACCCCGCCUUGAUGGCGAACCCCGCGGCUGCCAAGAGGACAAAGCGCCCCGGAUCCGUGCGCAGCGAGCAACCGCCGCCGGCGAAGCGCGUACGCGGUGCCUGCUCCGGGGGCGAGCUCCAUGCCGCGGUCCCCGCCAACAUCAAGGGUAGCAGCAAGCUUCCGUGUCCCAGCAGCGGCAAGGAUCCGCUCCACUCCUCCGGGAUCAAGAACCAGGUCGCCGAAUCUCCGGCGAGCGCGACGCAGUCGAAGCCGCCGAUCAGCAUGCGCCAACUGAUUGAGAAUGCUCGCCUCGUCAUGGAUUGGGCUCACCCUGCCGCCGAAGAAGAGGCCAGCCGUCGGCGGGACAUCGAGCGCAGCAGAGCGGAGCCCCGGCGAAAGGUGGAGCAGAUGGCGGACACGGUGCAGUUCAACGACCCCUGGAUCCAUUACUCCGACGUGACCAAGUCCCCCGAGGAGCUGCUCCAAGCAAGACAGCACGCAUGGCGUUAUCAAGCUCACCGCAUCGAGAUGGCUCGUCGACGGGACUUUGCUCAAGCGAUGCAAAUCUACGGAUGA
rnacentral:rRNA from 1 species